rnacentral:rRNA from 1 species
UACGUAGGUGGCAAGCGUUGUCCGGAUUUAUUGGGUUUAAAGGGUGCGUAGGCGGUUCCAUAAGUCAGUGGUGAAAUACGGCAGCUCAACUGUCGAGGUGCCAUUGAUACUGCGGAACUUGAGUACUGAUGAGGUAGGCGGAAUUGACGGUGUAGCGGUGAAAUGCUUAAAUAUCGUCAAGAACACCGAUAGCGAAGGCAGCUUACCAAGCAGUAACUGACGCUGAGGCACGAAAGUGCGGGGAUCAAACAGG